ensembl:lncRNA
GGGGCACUCCAGAGUUAACAUGGAUACCAAUGCCUCUACCUGCGCUCUUGUUUCACUCAGUUAAAUCAUCGUUAAUAAGUAUCAUUAUAUUAUAUGGCAAACAUAUCAAUUACAUAUUCUAAUAUCUUAUGCACAAGUGGGGGUCAUGUUUUCCUCAGUCCUUGGUAACAACAGCAGGAUGGUAACAACAUGGGAGUUGGAGGUCUUGAGACUUCUCAACAAAAUCCUAUGAAAAAUAUGAAGUAUGAAAAAUCCUUAUUGUGAAUAUUUUGGCGAUGUGGGUUUGUCAGACCGGAUUGGGAGGUACUGAUACUGUGCUGAGCUGAAAACCUCUGGUGUUGUGGUGAGGAGAGGAGAGUCGCGGGAGGAUCAGAACAGCCACGACACUCUUCUGUCCAUACAUCCCCAGAGUAUAGAGAGAUGUCGAGCAAGGCGCAAACAAGCCAGACAGGCACUGCUGGAAAAUAACCUCCGCUCAGAUCACGGAAUCCAAGCGUUCGUAUGAAGUGCGUUCAACAUCAGUGACGGCAAUUAGCUGUCUCUAUUAAUGUAUGCUACUGUUGCACUAACUAAAUCAGUUUCUCUCAGUCUCAAACUACGGUUACUGUGAAGGCCCAGGUCUUACGGCGAAAGGGAAGCAUCAUAUAGGACCAGAUGGAGUUGGUGAAAUGAAAGCAGACUACUAACAAAUGGACCAUCGGUCGGAAUAUAUGGAGUGUAGGUCAAUCCUCACAUGUAUCGAGGAGGAGGAGGAGGAAGAGGAGGGUGAUGAUGAUGAUGAAGCCCAUGACAUGGAAGAGGAUGAUGGGGACAGAGAGGAGACCCAAAAAGGAGGUGUAAAGGAGACAGUGGACCAAAUGGGGGAAGAAGACGAAGAAGAAAGUGGCAGAGUGGAAGGAGGGGGAGAAGAAGAUGAGGAAGACUCUGACUCUCCCUGUCUGACGCCAAGACCCUGGCGACUGCCUCGUGACUUCGACGUCGUCUUCCAAGAGACGCGCUAUGUGGACAAUGUCCAGAGUGAGUCUGGGUCAGAAGACGGCUCCCUCUGUACAGCCGAACCACAGCCCACCGCCUCUCCCCCCGAACCCUCUCCUUCAUCAGAACACACCCCUUCUUCAGAAAGUACCUCUCCACCCGAACACGGUCCUUCAUCAGAACACGCCUCUCCACCUGAUCAGACCUCUUCAUCCCAACACAGCCCUCCAUCAGGACACACCCCUUCUUCAGAAAGUACCUCUCCACCCGAACACGGUCCUUCAUCGGAACACGCCUCUCCACCCGAUCAGACCUCUUCAUCACAACACAGCCCUCCAUUAGGCCACAGCUCUCCACCCGAACACACCUCUCCAUCGGGAUACACCAGUCCUUCAGAACACACCCCGCCUCCACCCACACACUCCUCUCCAUCCGAACACACCCCAUCAUCAGAAUACACCUCUGCAUCAGACCACCCCCCUUCAUCAGAACACCCCCCCACCAGGACACAGCCUUUGGCCUCAACCGGGCAGACAGUGGAGCCAUGGACUCCCAAACAUGAAGGUCUACUCCUGGGCAGAGAGAGCGUGGCGGCGGUCAAGAGCAGAGCAGCCAAAGAAAGGCUCGAAGAGGAGGCGUUCAUCAGAUGAGGAUUUUCCUGGCUGGUUGCUGGAGCUCAUGUUUAGCAUUGAGGAGUCGACAAAACAUGUACUGUUCGUUGAAUAUGAACAUGCAAAGGCAUAACGGGUCGUUGCUUGUUUUCUGAACUUCUUUCAAUGGUGUGAUGAUGUUGUUUAUCGUGGGGCAUUUUCACUGGGAUGGUAGAGGUUUACUUUAAGCUCAAUUUAUUUUUGAUAUCUAACUUUAUUUUCCCCAGACAAGUCCCACAGACAAUCAAGUAUUUUUUCUUGAAGAAAACAACAAAAAAUGAAAGAAGCUAUGAUUUCUAAAUAAAAGUCCUAAAAAUUAAUGUGUUGCACAUCAGAGUGUUUUUUGACAUUUUUUAUGGUAGCUAUUCCUGAUUUGCCAAGUUAAAAGUUAGACCGAACUUUCUGAACUGACUAUUCAAACAUGACGACAACAGAGCCAGGCUCUUUUAAAGUCCUAUCUAAUACUACACCAAAGCAACAAUCAAUUACUACUGGCUGUCUUCACACAAACAUGUUGUGAUUGCGGUGCAGG